UACGAAGGGGGCUAGCGUUGUUCGGAAUUACUGGGCGUAAAGCGCACGUAGGCGGAUUGUUUAGUUAGGGGUGAAAUCCCGGGGCUCAACCCCGGAACUGCCUUUAAUACUGGCAAUCUAGAGUCCGAGAGAGGUGAGUGGAAUUCCGAGUGUAGAGGUGAAAUUCGUAGAUAUUGGGAAGAACACCAGUGGCGAAGGCGGCUCUCUGGUCCGAUACUGACGCUGAGGUGCGAAAGCGUGGGGAGCAAACAGG
rnacentral:rRNA from 1 species